AGAGUUUGAUCAUGGCUCAGGAUAAACGCUGGCGGCAUGCCUAAUACAUGCAAGUCUGACGGGUGUGCUUGCACAUCCGUGGCGAACGGGUGAGUAAUAUGUAGGUAACCUACCCUUAAGACGAGGAUAACCAUUAGAAAUGAUGAACAAUACUGGAUAGUAUAUGGAACCGCAUGAUUCUAUAUUUAAAGGUGCGUUUGCACCACUUAAGGAGGGGCUUAUAUCGCAUUAGCUAGUUGGUAAGGUAACGGCCUACCAAGGCGACGAUGCGUAACUGUGCUGAGAGGCAAAACAGUCACAUUGGAACUGAUACACGGUCCAAACUCCUACGGGAGGCAGCAGUAGGGAAUUUUCAGCAAUGGAGGAAACUCUGACCGAGCAAUGCCGCGUGAAUGAUGAAGAUCUUCGGAUUGUAAAAUUCUGUUAUUGGGGAAGAAUUACACUAUUAGGAAAUGAGUAGUGCUUGACAGUACCCGAUUAGAAAGCCCCGGCUAACUAUGUGCCAGCAGCCGCGGUAAUACAUAGGGGGCAAGCGUUAUCCGGAAUUAUUGGGCGUAAAGCGUGCGUAGGCGGUUUAUUAAGUCUGGUGUGAAAUCCCACAGCUUAACUGUGGAGGGUCAUUGGAAACUGGUAAACUAGAGUACGGUAGGGAUAAGUGGAAUUCCAAGUGGAGCGGUGGAAUGCGUAGAGAUUUGGAGGAACACCAGUGGCGAAGGCGGCUUAUUGGGCCGGAACUGACGCUGAGGCACGAAAGCGUGGGGAGCAAACAGGAUUAGAUACCCUGGUAGUCCACGCCGUAAACGAUGAGCACUAAGUUCUGGGAGUAUUUUCGGAGCUGCAGUUAACACAUUAAGUGCUCCGCCUGGGGAGUACGGUCGCAAGACUGAAACUCAAAGGAAUUGACGGGGACUCGCACAAGCGGUGGAGCAUGCGGUUUAAUUCGAUGCAACGCGAAGAACCUUACCAGGUCUUGACAUCUGAUUGCCAGGACUAGAGAUAGUCCCUUUCUUCGGAACAAUCAAGACAGGUGGUGCAUGGUUGUCGUCAGCUCGUGUCGUGAGAUGUUGGGUUAAGUCCCGCAACGAGCGCAACCCUUACCUUUAGUUGCUACGCAAGAGCACUCUAAAGGGACUGCCGUUGACAAAACGGAGGAAGGUGGGGAUGACGUCAAAUCAUCAUGCCCCUUAUGACCUGGGCUACACACGUACUACAAUGGCAAUUAACAAAGAGAAGCGAGACGGUGACGUGGAGCGAAUCUCAAAAAAUUGUCCCAGUUCAGAUUGCAGGCUGCAACUCGCCUGCAUGAAGUCGGAAUUGCUAGUAAUCGCGGAUCAGCAUGCCGCGGUGAAUACGUUCCCGGGCCUUGUACACACCGCCCGUCACACCAUGGGAGUCGGUAACACCCGAAGUCGGUAGUCUAACAGCAAUGAGGAUGCCGCCGAAGGUGGGAUUGAUGACUGGGGUGAAGUCGUAACAAGGUAACC
rnacentral:rRNA from 1 species